rnacentral:rRNA from 1 species
UCUAACCGCGGUCCGUUAUCCGGAUCCGGGACCCUGCGUGGCGGGUAGUUUGACUGGGGCGGUCGCCUCCCAAAUCGUAACGGAGGCGCGCGAUGGUGGGCUCAGGUCGGUUGGAAACCGACUGAUAGAGUGCAAUGGCAUAAGCCCGCCUGACUGCGAGAGUGACAAUUCGAGCAGAGACGAAAGUCGGUCAUAGUGAUCCGGUGAUCCCGCGUGGAAGGGUCAUCGCUCAACGGAUAAAAGGUACGCCGGGG